CAGGAAUAUGCCAGAGAUGUCAUAGCCGCAAGGUCUGUAUACAGGUGGUGCAUGGUUGUCGUCAGCUCGUGUCGUGAGAUGUUGGGUUAAGUCCCGCAACGAGCGCAACCCUCGUUCUGUGUUGCCAGCAUUUAGUUGGGGACUCACAGGAGACUGCCGGGGUUAACUCGGAGGAAGGUGGGGAUGACGUCAAAUCAUCAUGCCCCUUAUGUCUUGGGCUGCACGCAUGCUACAAUGGCUGGUACAAACGGCUGCAAUACCGCAAGGUGGAGCGAAUCCGAGAAAGCCAGUCUCAGUUCGGAUUGGGGUCUGCAACUCGACCCCAUGAAGUCGGAGUUGCUAGUAAUCGUAGAUCAGCAACGCUACGGUGAAUACGUUCCCGGGGCUUGUACACACCGCCCGUCACGUCACGAAAGUCGGUAACACCCGAAGUCAGUGGCCCAACCGCAAGGAG
rnacentral:rRNA from 1 species